AUGGAUUCCUCAGCAAAUUGAAGCAAGAUGUUGCGGCCCCCGUGGAGCUUUGAAAGCCUUCCAUGCUGUACCUCUGUAUUCUUCCAUAAAAGGAGAAGCUGUUUACCUUAACCUGCUGAGGUCUGCUCUCCAGAUGUUCCUGCUUCCCCUGUUUCAUCUCUACAUUUAAGAGAGGGGAGCGUUACACGAGUCUUGUCAGUGAACUGUGCGCUGUGGAAGAGGGCACCAGAUGGAGAUAAUCUAGAGCUGAAAAGAGAAAAAGAAACCAUGUCUAAAUGACAUCAAAGGGAAAUCUGUGCAGAAACAAACGGUCACAGGGAAUCUGGAGCCUAUCCCAGGGGGUAUCGGGCACAAUUCAGGGUACACCCUGGACAGGGUGUACAAUCACAUACACACUCACACUCCCAUUCAUACACUAUGGACACUUUAGACAUGCCAAUCAGCCUACCAUGCAUGUCUUUGGACGGGGGGAGGAAACCGGAGUACCCGGAGGAAACCCCCGCAGCACGGGG
ensembl:lncRNA